rnacentral:rRNA from 1 species
GAUGAACGCUGGCGGCGUGCCUAAUACAUGCAAGUCGAGCGAAUGGAUUGAGAGCUUGCUCUUAUGAAGUUAGCGGCGGACGGGUGAGUAACACGAGGGUAACCUGCCCAUAAGACUGGGAUAACUCCGGGAAACCGGGGCUAAUACCGGAUAACAUUUUGAACCGCAUGGUUCGAAAUUGAAAGGCGGCUUCGGCUGUCACUUAUGGAUGGACCCGCGUCGCAUUAGCUAGUUGGUGAGGUAACGGCUCACCAAGGCAACGAUGCGUAGCCGACCUGAGAGGGUGAUCGGCCACACUGGGACGGAGACACGGCCCAGACUCCUACGGGAGGCAGCAGUAGGGAAUCUUCCGCAAUGGACGAAAGUCUGACGGAGCAACGCCGCGUGAGUGAUGAAGGCUUUCGGGUCGUAAAACUCUGUUGUUAGGGAAGAACAAGUGCUAGUUGAAUAAGCUGGCACCUUGACGGUACCUAACCAGAAAGCCACGGCUAACUUCGUGCCAGCCGCCGCGGUAA